UUGAAUCCAUUAUAGGUUGCUAUGAAU
rnacentral:sRNA from 1 species